rnacentral:rRNA from 1 species
GAUAAACGCUGGCGGCGUGCCUAACACAUGCAAGUCGAACGAAGUGGCGAACGGGUGAGUAACACGUGAGUAACGUGCCUUACACAUGGGGAUAGCCUUUGGAAACGAAGCAUAAUACACUAUAUUGUAAGAUGGACUUGCGUGUGAUUAGCUAGUCUGUGAGAUAAAGGCCCACCAAGGCAAAGAUCAGUAGCCGGAUUGAGAGAGUGUACUGCUACAUUGGGACUGAGACACGGCCCAAACUAUACGGGAGGCAGCAGUGGGGAAUUGUGCAUAAUGGGGGAAACCCUGAUGCAGCGACGACGAGUGAUUGAGAAGGCCUUCGGGUUGUAAAAAUCUUUUUUAUGGGAUGCAGUACCAUAAGAAUAAGAUCCGGCUAAAUACGUGCCCGCAGCCGCGGUAAUAC